CAGCCCUAUAGGAGACACCUCCAGAGAAAGUAACAACUCUCAGUUGAUUAGCUGAGCCAGAAUUAGCUUCUGUUACUUACAACUGUGAGCCCUGACUGAAAACAUAUUUCUUCCUUUGAAGAAUUGUUACCUGUAACAGGCUAAGAAUAUUAAGAAUAAACAGAUGCUUUUACAGCUCGCAUUGGUGGGAAGAUCUGGCACAAAUGAAGUAUCUAUAAGGAGCAGCAGAGUCAAGGUGGUGAUCCUGUGGAAGAAUAACUGAAACCUGAUAUACUUGACAGCAGAAAAUAUAAAGCAAAUCGAAAAGGAGAGAGUGUGGAGAUAAAUAAGGAAAUGAAAGAACUGAUGAAGUCACUUGGAUUAAAAAACCUGGGAGUAAGGGCUUUGUUUAUGAUUGAACUUAAGAGAGAAUUGAAGGACCACCUACCUUUGAUGUUAACAAGAAAGUAAAGAGGAAACAUAUUUAGAGAUACCCUUUGGUGAAAAACACCGAGAUGGAUGUGUCAUUUGAUGCAUCACAUUAUUUAUUCAACAAACUCUUAGUGAGAACUUACUGUGUAUGAAAGACUAUGGACUGAAACAUAUAUAAGAAAUAACUUUUGGCCCAAGGAAUUUAUAGUAUAAUUGAGGAAACAAAUACAAAUCACUUCUGCAAAGUAGCAGAGACACAGAUGAGGAAUUGUAAUGUUUGUAAAAUCAAAGUGGUAGGAGUAGUCAAAAAAGUGUUUACAGAAUGGUA
rnacentral:lncRNA from 1 species